UUGUUCUAUAAGUCAAGUUCAGGGCCUUUCUGAAGACCCGAUGAACAAUUUUUGGAAAGCAUUGUAAAAUGCAA
rnacentral:snRNA from 1 species